CUGAGACGAGCAUGGGGGAGAGAGAAGCGGCGGAGGAGCCGAUUCGGUGGGAAGACGCCAUCGACGUCGACGACUCCGAUCUCCUUCACCUCCUCGUCCCUUCCUCCUCUUCUUCUCCCCAUCCCCAUACCCUUUCCUCCCUCCCUCCCCCCCUCCGGCCGUGCUCCCGAUUCCCUCCCCCUCCUCAAACCCUCGCCCCCGUCCCUUCUCCGUCUCCUCCCUCCGUCCACCGAUCCGCCGAGGAGCCUUCUCCCUUUCCAGCUACCACUACCCCACUCAUCCCCGGCCCUGCUGGCGCUGUUCAGGCCGCUUUGCGCCGCCAGUCUGCCUCCGCACGUCGAGACAGGCCGCUCUUGGACGACCACCGGAUGGAUGAUCACGGAAUGGAUCUCGACGAGGAAGAUGGGGAUUUCAAGCUCAACCCUUGGCUUUGCGCGUUGGAGUUUCUAGGGGAGGACUGCGACCUGGUUUGGCCGAUUGAUUCGAUCAAGACUCGGGCUACUGCGCGAGUGCCUCAGGUUGUAGGGAUCGUCAAAUCCUGUUCGCCAAAUGGAUUGGGCAACCUGUUUCUGACCCUGAAGGAUCCGACAGGCUCGAUUGGGGCCUCCAUCCAUCAUGGAGUCUUCUCGGAUUGCAAUCUCGAUGGUGAUAUUUCUGUUGGCUGUGUCCUUAUUCUCAAGCAGGUGGUUGCUUUCUGUCCAGCUCGCUCCAUUUGUUAUCUAAAUGCGACAUCAAAGAAUGUUGUGAAGCUGAUCAAUAAGGACUGUGGACCCCCUCGUAAGCAAUUACUGGCCUCAUUUACAGCCAGAGAUGGGUAUAAGAAUGUGGAAUCUGGAUUUGGGACAAUGAAAGUAAAACCAACCCAGUCGAAUGUAGCUGAAACUAGUUUAGAUGAAUCUGGAAAGAACUAUGAUCAUAAUACAAUGAUGGGCAACCAAAAAAUAGGUUUUGUUGGAGAUAUGUCAUCUGAAACCUGUGCUAAGGUUUCCACCACAACAGUUGCUGGCAGGCCUUACCCAGGACACUUGAAAAGACUUUGGUCAGUAGCUGGAGAACAAGCUGCAAUGCUUAGAGUUAAUGCUCGGAAAGAAGUGACAAAAAGCUUGAACCCCCAAAGGACGAUAGAUGGGGAUGAUGAGUGUCUUGCUCGAAGAUUACCUUUUAGCAAUACUAUCACAGCUGCCACUACAUUGAUGUCUUCCGAGCCUAGUUGUUAUUUAGCAGGUGAUAUAGAAAUCGGAGUUGGGGAAGCUGCAGAAUCAAUAGUAGGGCACAGAGCUUAUGCUGACAAUGAAGUAAGAAGAACUUUGAACUGUGAAAGAGUGAUUGACAGUAGCAAAAUGGACGCUGGCAGAAGUUUUCAAUGUGAUACUAUCGCCAAAACUUCCACCACAACAAUGCCCUCCAAGUCUGACCUUAGAAUAAAUGAAGCUAAAAGAUCGAUUCCCAAAGUUUCUGUUGCACAAUGGACAGAUGAACAACUAUUGGAACUAUUUUCUGAUUACCCAGAUGAAGUCGAGUUAGUUAAAACCAGUCUUUGAUAUAUCAACACGAUGGAGUCAGCUACUUCAUGGGUUUUGAAUUCUGCUUUCUAGGCUCGUCUUGGAUCAAUAUCAGGUAUCUUAAACACCACAGUUACCUGCAUGUGUUGCAUGAAAAAUGCUCUGUGCUGAUAAAAUUUAUAUAAAAAGCACCAAAGAGCUGAACUGUUCCAGACCUCUUUUACAAGAGGAAACCGAAAGGUAUUACUAGACAAAUCAAUUUACCUUCCAGGGUUGCAUUUGCUUCAUAUUUGCUGUGCAUUUGUUCUCCUAGAUGACAUCAAUUUCAUUUCUUAGUCACUCUUUACUCCUCCAUAAGCAAAACUAGAAUCUAGCAUGGCACGUAUUAUCAUGUAGUAUAAAUUGAAUCUCUACUGGUGUAUGGACUUCAACCGUUUUUUUGCCCUCUUCCAGCUACAUGUUUGGUUGCAACAGCCAGUUGCCUUCAAGGGGUUGGAUCUUCAGCUGUGCUUUUCUAAGCAUCGUUAGAUGUGCCGGAUUAUUAUGCUAACCUUGUUUCUCGUUCGAGUCUAUCAUGAACGAUAGAGAUUCUAAGUAUUCUAUGUCCUAGAUUACAAAGUUAAUCUUGAUUCUUGUUCGAGUCUAUUACGAAUCUGGUCUCAGGAGAUAAUUGGAUUUGAUAAAUGAUCCUAUAAAAUUAUAACCAAGUGUGUCCAAUAAAAGUUCUUUAUUAUUGAGAAGAUAGUGGAGUGAUAGAGAUUUCUAAAAGUUUGAACAUGCUUGAGACUUUAUUACACUGUCGAAAGAUUUUAUUAGACUAUCGAAAGGACAUAAGAGCUAAUUUGUGGGAGGAAUUAUGUAGAACUAUAGAGAACAUUACGCGAAUAGGAAGGGUCAGUCUCAACCGCUAGGCGUUACACUUCAAAUCACCACACAUCGAUCAUGUGAGGCGUUUAACACGUGCCGAACUGAUGAUGUGUUUAAAUUGGUGUCAGGUAGGUCGUAACGUGUCUUCUAGAUGUUCACAUGGCUCUUGUUCGUUUCGUCAGUCUUAACGAUUUAUCCUAGCAACAAUAAUAGCCUCCUAAUUCUUAGCCGUACCUUAUCACCAGCCUUACGAUAGGGCAUCCGCUGGACAUCGCAUGUUGACCUUUCUAGUUUCUAUACAUCGUCUUAGGCUGAAUGCGAACUCUAUGCGGGAUCCCUGUAUAAGAAAUAUUUGUUUCUUAUGAUUGGUCCUCCGAUACCGUCCAUACCAUCAUCCCCUGUCAUCACGACCGUUCAUUUCAUUAUAAUUAAAAGUA